rnacentral:rRNA from 1 species
AGCGAACGCUGGCGGCAGGCCUAACACAUGCAAGUCGAGCGGCCGUAGCAAUACGGCAGCGGCAGACGGGAGAGUAACACGUGGGAACGCGCCCUUCGGUUCGGGAUAACUCAGGGAAACUUGGGCUAAUACCGGAUACGCCCUUACGGGGAAAGAUUUAUUGCCGAAGGAACGGCCCGCGUCCGAUUAGCUUGUUGGUGAGGUAACGGCUCACCAAGGCGACGAUCGGUAGCUGGUCUGAGAGGAUGACCAGCCUCACUGGGACUGAGACACGGCCCAGACUCCUACGGGAGGCAGCAGUGGGGAAUAUUGGACAAUGGGCGCAAGCCUGAUCCAGCCAUGCCGCGUGGGUGAUGAAGGCCCUAGGGUUGUAAAGCCCUUUCAGCGGGGAAGAUAAUGACGGUACCCGCAGAAGAAGCCCCGGCUAACUUCGUGCCAGCCGCCGCCGUAAUAC